AUCUGAAUAGUUUAAAAAUAAAAUUUUGGUUUGUGGAGCCAAAGAUAUGUUAUUACAUUUCAGAUC
rnacentral:tRNA from 1 species